GUGCCAGCAGCCGCGGUAAGACAGAGGGUGCAAACGUUGCUCGGAAUCACUGGGCGUAAAGGGCGUGUAGGCGGGAAGGAAAGUCAGAUGUGAAAUCCCCAGGCUCAACCUGGGAACUGCAUUUGAAACUCCCUUUCUUGAGUAUCGGAGAGGAAAGCGGAAUUCCUGGUGUAGAGGUGAAAUUCGUAGAUAUCAGGAGGAACACCAGCGGCGAAGGCGGCUUUCUGGACGAUAACUGACGCUGAGACGCGAAAGCGUGGGGAGCAAACAGGAUUAGAUACCCUGGUAGUCC
rnacentral:rRNA from 1 species